rnacentral:rRNA from 1 species
CAAUAGCGUAUAUUAAAGUUGUUGCAGUUAAAAAGCUCGUAGUUGGAUUUGUGGCGUACGGUGUGUUCCGGGCACUUGUUGUCUGAGUAACCUGCUGUUGCCGUCCUUGGGUGGAACCUGUGUGGCAUUAGGUUGUCGUGCAGGGGAUGCCCAUCAUUUACUGUGAAAAAAUUAGAGUGUUCAAAGCAGGCUUAUGCCGUUGAAUAUAUUAGCAUGGAAUAAUGAGAUAGGACUUUUUUGCUAUUUUGUUGGUUUGCGCAAGAAGGUAAUGAUUAAUAGGGACAGUUGGGGGUAUUCGUAUUCCAUUGUCAGAGGUGAAAUUCUUGGAUUUUUGGAAGACGAACUACUGCGAAAGCAUUUACCAAGGAUGUUUUCAUUAA